rnacentral:rRNA from 1 species
UACAGGGGGUGCAAACGUUGCUCGGAAUUAUUGGGCGUAAAGCGCACGUAGGCGGUUUGUUAUGUCGGAUGUGAAAGCCCUUGGCUCAACUGAGGAAGUGCAUCCGAAACUGGCAAGCUAGAGUAUGUAAGAGGGUCGCGGAAUUCCCGGUGUAGAGGUGAAAUUCGUAGAUAUCAAAAGGAACACCGGUGGCGAAGGCGGCGACCUGGGACAAUACUGACGCUGAGGUGCGAAAGCGUGGGGAGCAAACAGG